rnacentral:rRNA from 1 species
UCGUCAUCGUAGGGUUAGUCGGGACCUAAGUCGAGUCCGAAAGGGGUAGACGAUGGCAAAUUGAUUAAUAUUUCAAUACCAACAUAUAAGCGCGAUGUGGGGACGCAUAGAGUUAAUCGAGCUCACUGAUGGAAUAGUGGGUCGAAGGACGUAGGCUGACACUUAGGCAAAUCCGGGUGUCAUGAGGCCGAGAUCUUACAGGCCGGACAAUAUCUUCGGAUAGCGUCUGGAAUCGAUGAUACUGUCGUGCCAAGAAAAGCCACUAAGUAUAUUAUAUGUUGCCCGUACCGUAAACCGACACAGGUGGGUGGGAUGAGUAUUCUAAGGCGCGUGGAAGAACCCUGGUUAAGGAACUCUGCAAACUAGCACCGUAUCUUCGGUAUAAGGUGUGCCUACUUUGGUAUAUGGACUUGCUCCAAAAAGCUAAAGAGGUUGCAACAAAGAGUCCCUCCCGACUGUUUAC